rnacentral:rRNA from 1 species
GACGAACGCUGGCGGCGUGCUUAACACAUGCAAGUCGAACGAAGAGCGACGGAAGCUUGCUUCUAUCAAUUUUAGUGGCGAACGGGUGAGUAACGCGUAAUCAACCUGCCCUUCAGAGGGGGACAACAGUUGGAAACGACUGCUAAUACCGCAUACGAUCUAAUCUCGGCAUCGAGGAUGGAUGAAAGGUGGUCUCUACAUGUAAGCUAUCACUGAAGGUGGGGAUUGCGUCUGAUUAGCUAGUUGGAGGGGUAACGGCCCAACAAGGCGAAGCUCAGUAGCCGGUCUGGGGGGAUGAACGGCCAAAUUGGGACUGAGACACGGCCCAGACUCCUACGGGAGGCAGCAGGGGGGAAUCUUCCGCAAUGGACGAAAGUCUGACGGAGCAACGCCGCGUGAGUGAUGACGGCCUUCGGGUUGUAAAGCUCUGUUAAUCGGGACGAAAGGCCUUCUUGCGAAUAGGGAGAAGGAUUGACGGUACCGGAAGAGAAAGCCACGGCUAACUACGUG